rnacentral:tRNA from 1 species
GGCACCAUAGCCAAGCGGUAAGGCAGAGGUCUGCAAAACCUUUAUCACCGGUCCGAUUCCGGUUGGUGCCUCCA